UACGAAGGGGCUAGCGUUGUUCGGAAUUACUGGGCGUAAAGCGCGCGUAGGCGGAUCGCUAAGUCAGGGGUGAAAUCCCAGGGCUCAACCCUGGAACUGCCUUUGAUACUGACGAUCUGGAGAUCGGGAGAGGUUGGUGGAAUUCCGAGUGUAGAGGUGAAAUUCGUAGAUAUUCGGAGGAACACCAGAAGCGAAGGCGGCCAACUGGCCCGAUACUGACGCUGAGGCGCGAAAGCGUGGGGAGCAAACAGG
rnacentral:rRNA from 1 species